UACGUAGGUCCCGAGCGUUGUCCGGAUUUAUUGGGCGUAAAGCGAGCGCUGGUGGUUUAUUAAGUCUGGUGUAAAAGGCAGUGGCUCAACCAUAGUAUGCAUUGGAAACUGGUAGACUUGAGUGCAGGAGAGGAGAGUGGAAUUCCAUGUGUAGCGGUGAAAUGCGUAGAUAUAUGGAAGAACACCAGUGGCGAAAGCGGCUCUCUGGUCUGUAACUGACGCUGAGGUUCGAAAGCGUGGGUAGCAAACAGG
rnacentral:rRNA from 1 species